UACGGAGGGGGCUAGCGUUGUUCGGAAUUACUGGGCGUAAAGCGCGCGUAGGCGGACCUGCAAGUCGGGGGUGAAAGCCCGAGGCUCAACCUCGGAACUGCCUUCGAUACUGCGGGUCUCGAGUCCGGGAGAGGUGAGUGGAAUUCCUAGUGUAGAGGUGAAAUUCGUAGAUAUUCGCAAGAACACCAGUGGCGAAGGCGGCUCACUGGCCCGAUACCUGACGCUGAGGCACGAAAGCGUGGGG
rnacentral:rRNA from 1 species